rnacentral:rRNA from 1 species
UACGUAGGGGGCGAGCGUUGUCCGGAAUUAUUGGGCGUAAAGAGCGUGUAGGCGGUUCGGUAAGUCUGCCGUGAAAACCUGGGGCUCAACCCCGGGCGUGCGGUGGAUACUGCCGGGCUAGAGGGUGGUAGAGGCGAGUGGAAUUCCCGGUGUAGUGGUGGAAUGCGUAGAUAUCGGGAGGAACACCAGUGGCGCAGGCGGUCGACUGGCCCAUAACUGACGCUGAGGCACGAAAGCGUGGGGAGCGAACAGG